rnacentral:tRNA from 3 species
CCGGGUGUGGCGCAGCUGGGAGCGCGGGUGGUUUGGGACCAUCAGGCCGCAGGUUCGAUCCCUGUCACUCGGACCA